rnacentral:rRNA from 1 species
UAGUUGGAUCCUGGCUCAGGAUAAACGCUGGCGGCGUGCAUUAUGCAUGCAAGUCGAACGGCUUUGAUUUUAUCAAAGCAGUGGCAAACGGGUGAGUAACACGUAAGUAACCUGCCCCUAAGUGGGGAAUAGCCUCGGGAAACCGAGGAUAAUACCGCAUGUUGUGGUGGAGGUAAUGCUUCAUCACCAAAGCCUUCGGGCGCUUGGGGAGGGGCUUGCGACUGAUUAGCUAGUUGGUAGGGUAAUGGCUUACCAAGGUUACGAUCGGUAGCUGGUCUGAGAGGAUGGUCAGCCACACUGGGACUGAGACACGGCCCAGACUCCUACGGGAGGCAGCAGCAAGGAAUUUUGUGCAAUGGGCGAAAGCCUGACACAGCAACGCCGCGUGGGGGAUGAAGGCCUUCGGGUUGUAAACCCCUUUUCUCAGGGAAGAAAAAAAUGACGGUACCUGAGGAAUAAGCCUUGGCUAACUACGUGCCAGCAGCCGCGGUAAUACGUAGAAGGCGAGCGUUAUUCGGAUUUACUGGGCGUAAAGAGGGCGUAGGCGGCCUUUCAAGUCGGAUGUGAAAUCUCCCGGCUUAACCGGGAGGGGUCAUCCGAUACUGCUGGGCUUGAGGACAGCAAGGGGAGGUGGAAUUCCCGGUGUAGUGGUGAUAUGCGUAGAUAUCGGGAGGAACACCAGUGGCGAAGGCGGCCUCCUGGGCUGUUUCUGACGCUGAGGCCCGAAAGUGUGGGUAGCGAACAGAAUUAGAUACUCUGGUAGUCCACACUGUAAACGAUGGAUACUAGGUAUGGGGAGUAUCGACCCUCUCUGUAUCGAAGCUAACGCUUUAAGUAUCCCGCCUGGGGACUACGGCCGCAAGGCUAAAACUCAAAGGAAUUGACGGGGGCCCGCACAAGCAGCGGAGCGUGUGGUUUAAUUCGAUGCAACGCGAAGAACCUUACCAAGACUUGACAUGUCGGAAGUAGCGACCCGAAAGGGAAGCCACCUGUUAAGUCAGGCGCCGUCACAGGUGCUGCAUGGCUGUCGUCAGCUCGUGCCGUGAGGUGUUCGGUUAAGUCCUGCAACGAGCGCAACCCUCGUCGCUAGUUGAUUUCUCUAACGAGACUGCCCCGUAAAACGGGGAGGAAGGUGGGGAUGACGUCAAGUCAGCAUGGCCCUUAUGUCUUGGGCUACGCACACGCUACAAUGGGUGGUACAACAGGUUGCGACAGAGCGAUCUGGAGCCAAUCCCUAAAGCCAUCCUCAGUUCGGAUUGCAGGCUGAAAUUCGCCUGCAUGAAGCUGGAGUUGCUAGUAACCGCGGGUCAGCAUACUGCGGUGAAUACGUUCUCGGGCCUUGUACACACCGCCCGUCACGUCAUGAAAGUUGGCAACACCUGAAGUCGAUGGGCUAACCAGGUUUAUCCAGGGGAGCAGUCGCCGAAGGUGGGGCUGACGAUUGGGACGAAGUCGUAACAAGGUAACC